UUGGCCUUGACAUACUAAGAACUUUCCAGAGAUGGAUUGGUGCCUUCGGGAACUUAGAUACAGGUGCUGCAUGGCUGUCGUCAGCUCGUGUCGUGAGAUGUUGGGUUAAGUCCGCAACGAGCGCAACCCUUUUCCUUAUUUGCCAGCGGGUAAUGCCGGGAACUUUAAGGAUACUGCCAGUGACAAACUGGAGGAAGGCGGGGACGACGUCAAGUCAUCAUGGCCCUUACGGCCAGGGCUACACACGUGCUACAAUGGUAGGUACAAAGGGUUGCUACCUCGCGAGAGGAUGCUAAUCUCAAAAAGCCGAUCGUAGUCCGGAUCGCAGUCUGCAACUCGACUGCGUGAAGUCGGAAUCGCUAGUAAUCGCGGAUCAGAAUGCCGCGGUGAAUACGUUCCCGGGCCUUGUACACACCGCCCGUCACACCAUGGGAGUUUGUUGCACCAGAAGUAGGUAGUCUAACCGCAAGGAGGACGCUUACCACGGUGUGGCCGAUGACUGGGGUGAAGUCGUAACAAGGUAAGCGUAGAUGA
rnacentral:rRNA from 1 species